rnacentral:piRNA from 1 species
UAAAAAUGUGUGAAGACACCCUGAAGUGA